UGCAGUCGACGGCAGCGCGGGAGCAAUCCUGGCGGCGAGUGGCGAACGGGUGAGUAAUACAUCGGAACGUGCCCAAUCGUGGGGGAUAACGCAGCGAAAGCUGUGCUAAUACCGCAUACGAUCUACGGAUGAAAGCAGGGGAUCGCAAGACCUUGCGCGAAUGGAGCGGCCGAUGGCAGAUUAGGUAGUUGGUGAGGUAAAGGCUCACCAAGCCUUCGAUCUGUAGCUGGUCUGAGAGGACGACCAGCCACACUGGGACUGAGACACGGCCCAGACUCCUACGGGAGGCAGCAGUGGGGAAUUUUGGACAAUGGGCGCAAGCCUGAUCCAGCCAUGCCGCGUGCAGGAUGAAGGCCUUCGGGUUGUAAACUGCUUUUGUACGGAACGAAACGGCCUUUUCUAAUAAAGAGGGCUAAUGACGGUACCGUAAGAAUAAGCACCGGCUAACUACGUGCCAGCAGCCGCGGUAAUACGUAGGGUGCAAGCGUUAAUCGGAAUUACUGGGCGUAAAGCGUGCGCAGGCGGUUAUGUAAGACAGUUGUGAAAUCCCCGGGCUCAACCUGGGAACUGCAUCUGUGACUGCAUAGCUAGAGUACGGUAGAGGGGGAUGGAAUUCCGCGUGUAGCAGUGAAAUGCGUAGAUAUGCGGAGGAACACCGAUGGCGAAGGCAAUCCCCUGGACCUGUACUGACGCUCAUGCACG
rnacentral:rRNA from 1 species